rnacentral:lncRNA from 1 species
CCACUUGGACUAAAAUUCCUAGUGGUAUGAGAGAUGUGGUGUGAGAGAAUAUAUAUGAAACUAGGGCACAUGGCCAAUAAGUCUCCCACUUGUCCUAGUUUACAAACAUCGUACACCUAAACUGUGUAGGUGACCCUCAAACACUUUAGCCAUGAGGGCUUUUGUAAAAUGAUCAGCUUCCAUUGUGGAAUCAGCUAUACAAGUUUGCUUUAUGCUUCUCCAAACUACUGCUCCUCCAUUUAGAGUAAAUACUGAUUCUGAUGUAGACUUUCUAACAUCUUUAUCAGUUUGGAAAUCUGAAUCAGUGUAUCCAGUAAGGAUCAGAUCCUUUGUACGAUACAUGAGCAUGUAGAAUGUUUUUAACGGCUGUCCAGUGAUCACGUCCAUGAUUGGAUUGAUACCUACUGACCAUCCCUACUGAGUAGCAAAUGUCAGGUCUAGUACAUAACAUUGCAUACAUUAAACUUCCAACAGCGGAAGCAUAGGGAAUAUUUCUCAUAUCCUCAACUUCUUGAGGUGUCUUAGGACAUUGUUCCUUUGACAAAUGAAUUCCAUAUCUGUACGGCAGCAGACCCUUUUUGGAAUUCUGCAUUUUAUAUCUAGACAACAUUUUGUCUAUGUAAGAUGCUUGAGACAUGGCUAGUGUUUUGUUCUUACGGUUUCGAACAAUUUGGAUUCCGAGAACGUAUUGUGCAUCUCCCAGAUCUUUCAUUUGAAAUUGCAUAGCUAGCCAUUUCUUGAUAUCAGGAAGAUAUCCUAGUCAUUUCCAAUAAGUAGAAUAUCAUCUACAUAUAAGACUAAAAAAUGCUAUAAUGGAAUUGACGACCUUUUGUAAACACAAGGCUCGUCAACAUUUUGUUCAAAGCCAUAAGAUUUUGAUCGCAAUAUCAAAUCUUAUAUUCCAGGAUCUAGAAGCUUGUUUUAAUCCAUAAAUGGAUUUUUUAAGCUUACAAACCUUUUGUUCUUGAUCUUGUUUUAUAAACCCCUCUGGUUGAGACAUAUAGAUGCUCUCUUCAAGAUUACCGUUCAAAAAAGCUGUCUUGACAUCCAUCUGCCAAAUUUCAUAAUCAUAAAAAGUGGCGAUGGAUAAGAGUAUUCUAAUUGACUUUAACAUGGCAACGGGAGAGAAAGUUUCCUCUAGUCUACUCCCUCUCUCUAGGUAUAACCCUUUGCCACAAGUCGAGCCUUAAAAGUCUGUACUUUACCGGCAUGGUCUCGUUUUCUCUUGUAGAUCCAUUUACAACCAAUAGGUUUUACGUCAUUUGGUUGAUCUACUAGAGUCUAGAAAGAAUUAAAGUACAUAGACUCCAUUUCGAGGUCCAUGGCUUUGAUCCAUUGGUCACGAUCUACAUCUUUCAUUGCCUGUUUAUAGGUUAAUGGAUCCUCUAUGCCAUCGUCAGGUAUGACGACUUGAGUUUCAAUUAAACCCAAAUAGCGAUCAGGCUGAUGAACAACCCUCCCACUACGUCGAGGCUCUCUCAACUGUUGAGAAGGAUGUGAUUGACCAGAUUUCCUAGUCUUAUCAACUACUUUAGUGGAUGAACUAGGUUUUAUCUAUAGCACUUUUGGAAAUUUCUUUAAAUACUAGUUUACUACGAGGUUGAUGAUCCCUGAUGUGGUAUUUUAUUUUCUUGAGGAUCAUAAAACAAACCACCUCUUGAUUCUUUUGGAUAACCUAUAAAAAAGCAUAAUUUUGAACGAUGUUCCAAUUUCUUUGGAUUUUGUACCAACACAUGUGCUGGACAACCCCAAAUUUUAAAAUGACGUAAACUGCCUUUACGCCCUUUCCAUAGCUCAUAAGGUGUUUCUGAAACACUUUUAGAGGGAACAUUAUUCAAAAUAUAAGCAGCUGUUUCUAAAGCAUAUCCCCAAAAAGAAUCUGACAUCUGAGAAAAACUCAUCAUAGAGCGAACCAUGUCUAACAAGGUCCAGUUUCUUCUUUCUGAUACACCGUUCUGUUGAGGUGUACUAGGUGCAGAGAGUUGUGACUGGAUUCCAUUUUCUAUUAAAUAGUCUCGGAAUCGUAAGUCCAUAUACUCUCCACCUCGAUCUGAUCGAAGUAUUUUUAUUGUUUUACCUAAUUCGUUUUCUACUUCAGCCUUAUAUUCUUUGAACUUUUCAAGACUAUUAGACUUAUGAUGUAUUAGGUAAAUAUGACCAUACCUUGAAUAAUCAUCAAUGAAGCUAAUGAAAUAUUCAUAUCCACCUCGAGUUUUGACAUUCAUUGGUCCACAAAGGUCCGAAUGUACGAGCUCUAAGGGUCCUUUGGCUCUUAGACCUUUUCCAGUAAAAGAUCUCUUGGUCAUUUUUCCUUCAAGACAAGAUUCACAAGGAGGUAAAGAGUUAUCUUCUAACGGACUUAGAAGCCCACUUUUAACCAAUCUCCCAAUCCUAUUGAGAUUUAUGUGACCAAGUCUUAAGUGCCAUAAAUAGGCAUUAGAAGAAACUUUUUGUCUUUUAUUCUGAGUUUCAGCUGUUCUGAAUAUUUCAGUAUUUAAGACAAAAUUUGCUCUAGUUGGUCUUAACUUAUAUAAGUUGUCUUCAAGUAUAGCAGAACAAACUAGAAUACCUUUAUAGAAAACGAACGCUUCAUUAAUUUCAAAAGAUAUUCUAUACAUUUGUUCCAAAAUACAAGAGAUAGAUAUUAAAUUUCUUUUCAUUUGAGGUACAUAUAAGACAUUCUUAAGUAUGACAUAUCUAUCUCUAAAAAACAACUUUAAAUCUCCCACUGCUGAAGCUGAGACCAUCUCUCCUGUUCCAACCUUGAGAGUGAUCUCGCCUUCUGAAAGCUUUUUCCAAGAACUAUUUUCCUGAAAUGAGAAGCAAAUAUGGUUAGUGGCUCCUGAAUCUAGUAUCCAGGUAGAAUUUUCAUAUUCCACUAAACAUGUUUCUACAACUAGUAAAUCAUAUUUACCUUGUGUUUCCUUCUCUGCCUUUUUUUCUGCAAGGUAUUUUGGGCAGUUUCUUAACCAGUGCCCGUUUUGGCCACAAUGGUAACACUUACCUUUUUCUGCAGCUUUCUUACCCUUGUUCUGUUUGGGAGUCUUUCCCUUUCCCUUCUUUUUUAUUUGAGCAUUAGGUUUUGAGGGUCCAGCUUUGGUUUUAGAGGACGAUCCUCUUAUAAAUUUUCUUUUUGUGGUAGCAACAUUUGCUUCCACUUGUUUUCCUUUACCCAUAGUUAGGUUUUGGAAUCGCUGGAGUUCAUUCAGAAGGGUUGUCAAGUUAAAUUCUAUCUUGUUCAAAGACGCAUUCGUUUGGAAUGGAAUGAAGCUCUUCGGAAGAGACUCUAAGAUAAAACUAACUUGAUUAACCUCUUCGAUGGGACCACCAUUCACUUCAGCGAUGUUGAAGUGCAUCAUCAUGUCCAGAACAUGUUCUCUAACAGAGGUCCCUUCCUUCAUACGCUUAGUGUAAAUGUAUUUGACUGCCUCGUGUCUUAAGGACCAUUCUGGUUGCCCAAACAUUCCCCUUAAUGAAUCCAUAAUCUCUUUAGCCGUGGCUAAGGAUUCAUGUUUCUUUGCCAAUACAUCAGACAUGCUGGCAAGAAUGUAAACACGGGCUUUUUCAUUAGCUUUUAUCCAUCGAUCAUAUGCAUCCCGACUAGUUCGGUUAGCAUUAGAGGCAGGGUUUUGAGGACAUUCCUCAGUUAAGACAAAUCUUAAAUCGUCAACCACUAGUAUUGUGUUAAGAUUUGAUUUCCAAGCCGCAUAAUUAUCGCCAUUAAGUUUUUCGGAAGCUAAAAGUUGAACUAUUGAGCUAUUCAUGCUGAAAAACAAACAUAUUCUUUUUAGGAAAAAACUAUAAUCAUAAAAAAUAUCCAAUCUAAUUUAGCAAUUACUAAUAAUGUACCCUUUCAUUAUUUGUAUUUUGCAACAAUAUUUCAAAGGUUUAGAACAACCUUCUCCGAAGGGUAGUUGAUUAUUCCUCCUUUGAACCAAGACAAUCUUGACUAGAUGCUAUCUCAAGAAUAACUCUUUAUUCUUUAUAGCACUUAGUUAUCGCUACUUUAGUCAAGAAUAUACUAACAACUUAGUAAUUCUUGUAAGUGUUACCCACCAUUUUCAGAUUUUAUAGAUUAGAAUCAUUUAUGAAAACUAAUCUAAGAAAUCCUAUCCAGUUUUGGAGUUCGCGGUGUUCCGAAUCCUAUAAUACAACCCUCCGAAGGGAACGUCGCUCCAGGGCAGACAAGCAGGCAUAUUAUAGAAAUCUCACGGUGCGGCCUAAUGGAAGAGACCGUGGGAUGUGCUGUCACAAAUCCCUCACCCACUUACUAUGAACUACUUCCCCUAUUCACCUUGAUUUUGAUCCAUGCAAACACUCUCCGAAGGGAGGCCGCUCCUAUGCACGGCACAAAGCCCUGCAUGGACCUCACGGUGUGAACUCUUAGGGACACUAGAGCUAAAAUACAUUAUUUUUCUCUAGUUGAAGUGUUCUAAAAGGAAAAAAAUAGGGUAAUCCAAACUUCAAGAUUUAUAUUUAGGCUAACUUAAACAAAUCUUAAGUCUAGAUAAAACAUCCAAGUAUAACCAUUAUACAGGAUUUUAACCUAUGAUGUCUAGGUGAAAAACCAUUUUUAUUACCUCACACCUCUCACGAAUGCUCAUAAAACUAGGUUAACUAGGCUCAAGAACUGAUUACGAUCUCCAGGUAGGAGGUGUUCCGUAAACCGUCAACUUAAGAACCUCCAACCUUAGUCAUCUUAUCUGACUUGUUGACAAGAUUGAACCAGGUGAGCCUUUUGUAACCAGUUUUACAAGAUAUCGACCUAUUUCUAUGAAAAAUGGAAGAUAUGUUUAACCUAAGUGAGCAUGCAUUUAAUCUUUGUUAUUGAUUUUAAAAGUCUAAUUUAUUUUAUAACACUUAUAAAAAAAACUUCUAGACUUAAUCAAUCAUUUUAUCAAUAUAUAAUCUUAUAAAAACAAUCAAUUAAUAUGGAUUUUAAUUUAUUUAACUUUAAUUAAAUCAUAUUUAAUUAAAUUAAAUCAAACAAUAAUUAAUUAAUUUGAUUAAAUCAUAUUUAAUCAAGAAUAACUUAAUUAAUUAAAUAAUUAAUUAAUCAUAUUAAUUAAUUUCCAUAUUAAUCAAUUAACAUGCAUACAAUACAAUAUAACCUUUAUAUCAUACAUUUUAAUGCAUGAACAUGUUAACCUAUGGUGGGAUUUUAAAUCUAUAUGACAUUCAAAAUGCACAUACAAAUUUAAAGUAAUUUAAUCAUACAUCACAUGCAUAAAUAAAAAAAAACACCCUAAAAUGGACUGAUUUUUGGCUCCUAAAUUAAGCUAAGUGCUAAAUUAUUACAUAAUUAAUUUGGUGUAGUACAGAACCACUCCCAAAAAUUUCGAACCGGCUAAAAAACCAACCGAAACCGCUUGAACCGGCCCAAAAACCAAAUUUAUUGGCUUGAACCGGCCCAGGCGCACACGGGUCGUGCGAAGGCAGGCGCGCGGGCGAAGGCGGGCGCGCGGGCGCAUGCGGGCGCGCGGGCGCAUGCGGGCGCGGCGCGCGCAGGCGGGCGCACGGGCGCAUGCAGGAGCGCGGCCGCAGGAAGGCGCGCGGGCGCAGGAGGGCGCGCGCGGGCGCAGGAGGGCGUGCGGCGCGCGCGGGCGCGUGCGGGCGCAGGAGGGCGCGCGGGCAUGCGGGCGCGUGCGGGUCGCGAAGCGGGUCAAAACCGGGUUUUCGGGUCUGUGACCUUCUUUUCUUCAUUUUUUUUCAAUUCUCUCACCCGGUUGAACCAAUUACAGCCUAGCUUCAACUCUAAUGACUUUUUUUAUUUUUUUAAAAAAUUACAAACACUUUGCAACAAUAAAAAUAAGCCAUUAACAAGGCUAAUUACAAUAAUUAGAACAAAAACACUUAAUCUAGAGCCAAAAUCAUAAUAUAUCCAUUUUAGUUCAAACCAAAAUUUAUCUAAUAAAUAUGAACCCACCACAUGCAAUUGGGUAAAAAUGAAGCAUGCUCUGAUACCACAUGAUAGAACUAAGUCAUGCACAGCGGAAAAAGAAUCGAAUUUCUACCCUAAUUGCCACAAUUAACAUGUAACCAUAAACUAAUCAAAUUAGGGUUUUAAGAAGUAUUACCUUUGAAGCUUUCAAAAGGUUUGAUGUCUUCUUACCAAUUCUACCCGAGACCACCACUAGUACUCAACUGCUAUCCUCUAGACAAAGAACCGGGUUGUGGGACCCAAUUUUGGUGUAGAAAGUAAUGGAGAUAAAAUGAGAUUGGAAGCUUUCUUUUUUCUUUUGUUGAGAUUAUGAAAAUGAUAAAAGAGGCAAAAGUCCUUCAACAUUUGAAAACAUCUCUAUUUAUAGCCUAAUUACAUGCAAAAAUGCAUGCAAUUCAAUUGCCAAAUCUCAACAC